rnacentral:tRNA from 1 species
GAGUGGUGGAAAACGUCAAAGUGCAAAUUUGAAGAAGCACCCAAAAGGUGCCCCGGCU